GGCGACGCAAUCUCAGCCGCAGCCGACUAUGGUGGAUGUGGUUCAUUAAUCAAAUAGUUUACUGACAUAAUAUUUAAAACAUUUAUUGCCAUCUUAUUUGGAAUCUUGAAGAGUGAAAAUUACCUCUUCUGAUCUGUUGACUUUUUAUUAUUAUAUAAAUAUGUUGACUUAUUUUUUAUAUUAUACAGUAAUAUGAUAUAUUGUAAUAUUAUGGUACUAUUUAUGGCUAUGCCUUUUUCAUUCUUA
rnacentral:lncRNA from 1 species